GUUGCAGUGGGAUGCUCCAGAAUGGCCCCUUCCUCUCCCUGUAGGCUUCCUUUACCUCUGGAUCUCAAGUGGCCUUUGCCCAGUGACAUGAUAAAUCUGCUCACCUGUGGCAGUUCACUGUUAUCUUGCUACACCCAGCCACAGCUGUAAGGAUUCAAGCCUGUCUCCAUAGAGGUUUCCCUCUAUCAAUGUUAAUAUUAAUGGUGAUUAAUUCUUGAUGAGAACAUACUAAGGAAC
rnacentral:lncRNA from 1 species